rnacentral:rRNA from 1 species
AACGAACGCUGGCGGCAUGCCUAACACAUGCAAGUCGAACGAGACCUUCGGGUCUAGUGGCGCACGGGUGCGUAACGCGUGGGAACCUGCCCUUAGGUUCGGAAUAACUCCCCGAAAGGGGUGCUAAUACCGGAUAAUGUCUUCGGACCAAAGAUUUAUCGCCUUUGGACGGGCCCGCGUUGGAUUAGCUAGUUGGUAGGGUAAAAGCCUACCAAGGCGACGAUCCAUAGCUGGUCUGAGAGGAUGAUCAGCCACACUGGGACUGAGACACGGCCCAGACUCCUACGGGAGGCAGCAGUGGGGAAUAUUGGACAAUGGGCGAAAGCCCGAUCCAGCAAUGCCGCGUGAGUGAUGAAGGCCUUAGGGUUGUAAAGCUCUUUUACCCGGGAUGAUAAUGACAGUACCGGGAGAAUAAGCUCCGGCUAACUCCGUG